CCUACGGGAGGCAGCAGUAGGGAAUAUUGCUCAAUGGGGGAAACCCUGAAGCAGCAACGCCGCGUGGAGGAUGAAGGUUUUCGGAGUGUAAACUCCUGUUGUUAGAGAAGAUAAUGACGGUAGCUAACGAAUAAGAACCGGCUAACGCCGUGCCAGCAGCCGCGGUAAUACGGAGGGUGCAAGCGUUACUCGGAAUCACUGGGCGUAAAGAGCGCGUAGGCGGGAUAGCAAGUCAGAUGUGAAAUCCUAUGGCUUAACCAUAGAACUGCAUUUGAAACUGUUAUUCUAGAGUAUGGGAGAGGUAGGUGGAAUUCUUGGUGUAGGGGUAAAAUCCGUAGAGAUCAAGAGGAAUACUCAUUGCGAAGGCGACCUGCUAGAACCUAACUGACGCUGAUGCGCGAAAGCGUGGGGAGCAAACAGGAUUAGAUACCCCUGUAGUC
rnacentral:rRNA from 1 species